rnacentral:rRNA from 1 species
GAACCGUACAAACGUUAUUCGGAAUCACUGGGCUUAAAGGGUGCGUAGGCGGCCAGGUAAGUUGGGUGUGAAAUCCCUCGGCUCAACCGAGGAACUGCGCCCAAAACUACUUGGCUUGAGGGAGAUAGAGGUGAGCGGAACUUAGGGUGGAGCGGUGAAAUGCGUUGAUAUCCUAAGGAACACCGGUGGCGAAAGCGGCUCACUGGAUCUCUUCUGACGCUGAGGCACGAAAGCUAGGGUAGCGAACGGGAUUAGAUACCCCGGGUAGUCCUAGCUGUAAACGAUGAGCACUGGGUUGGAGGCCCCCCCCCCCCGAUAGGCUUCCGGCCGAAGCGAAAGUGUUAAGUGCUCCGCCUGGGGAGUAUGGUCGCAAGGCUG